rnacentral:rRNA from 1 species
GGGUGCGAUCAUGCCAGCACUAAAGCACUAGAUCCCCUCAGAACUCUGAAGUUAAGUGUGCUUGGGUGAGUAGUACUAGGAUGGGUGACCUCCUGGGAAGUCAUCGUGUUGCAUCCC